rnacentral:lncRNA from 1 species
AAACGCCAUAGAAGGUCUGGAGAAAGCUGGUUUUUCAUAUUUUACAUCAUGUGAGUUUAAUUCUUGCUUUUUCUUGAUAAUUUUUAUGUUUUUAUGACUUUUACAAUUAGGUCCACUUAUAGAAUUCAUUAGUUUUUGAUUUUAUGGGUGAAAUUGGAAGUUACCCUGGAUGGAUAAGGGAAUUUUAUGAUGAAUUAUUAUGAAAUUUAAGUUCUAAUUUUCAUAUUAAGGUGGUUUUAUUAAGUGAUUUUGAUAGAAAAUGAUAUUUAGGACCUAAUUGUGAAUUGAAGGUUGCUGUUGAAAUUCAGAAUAGAAAAGAUUUUGAAAUAGUUUAUAAUGAUAAAAUAAAGUGUUAAUUGAGAAAAAUUAGUUCAAUUGAUGGGUGAAUUGAGCAGGGACUAAAUUGUGAAAACUGUAAAUUUUGGGGUAAAAGUGUAAUUUCAAAAUUUGAACAGCAUAAAUUGUGAAGUGAAAUAGAAAUCAAAUAAAUGCUAAUGAGUAGAAAUAUUUUAUAUUAUAGAUCAAGAAUCCAAAGAAGAACGAGGAAAAGAAAAAGUUGCGGAAUAGUCCCUAAAUUUCAAUAUCUUCUACAAAUUAGUCCAGGUAAGUUCAUAUGGCAAAGUUCAAUGUUUUGAUAUGAAAAUCUUAUGAUUGUUAAAGUAUUUUAUUGUUGAUGAAUACUAUCAAUUUGCAUUAACUAAUAAAUAAUGUGUAACUAAAAGUACAAAUUAGUAGGAACAAUGGAUUUGAGUGCUUCUAUUCUGUGACCCUGAUGAAUUGACGAAAAAUAUGUGAUAAGUGCACCCGUUUAAGACCAUAGCUGGGCUAUGGCAUCGGUGCAAUGUGAUAAUGUGACUCCGUAUAAGACCAUAGCUGGGCUAUGGCAUCGGUAUAAUGUGAUAAUGUGAUUCCGUAUAAGACCAUGUCUGGGAUAUGGCUUCGGUAUGAUAUGUGAACCGUGUAAGACCAUGGCAAGGCUAUGGUUUCGGUAUGUGAUGCGUAACAAUGUGAAAGUCCAUAGUUUACUAUGGCAAUGUGAUAAUGAAGCACUCAAUUCCCUUAUUGUUCCCUAAUUUGACAAUGAAGUAAAUGAGAAAUGGGCCUAAGGGAGUUAAAUUGUGAGUAGCCAUAUGGAAAUCAUUCCAAUGAGUUAUUAAUGAAAUUGUGAUUUGGAGGAUGAAAUAGUUAAACUAAUAGAUAUAUGAUUGUGUACAAUAUUUGAUAUGAUUUGUGUUUUUAUGCCUAUGAGCUUACUAAGCUUCAAUAAGCUUACUUGUGUGUGUUUGAUAAUUUCUUUUGUAGAUUGAAUUAAAGAGAAGUUGGUAGAUCGGAUCAACACAACAGGGCACACUAUUCAGAUCAAUUCCGGUAGUUUUUGUUUUAUGUUUAAAGAUUUAUAUGGCAUGUAUAGAGUUUGAAUGAAUUGAAGUAAAGAUGUUAUAAACUAGUUAACAAUAUUUGUACUAAAACAGUUUUUGAUAAGUAGCAGUAGUUUGACUUUGAAAAAUCAC